AACGAACGCUGGCGGCAUGCCUAACACAUGCAAGUCGAACGAAGUCCUUCGGGGCUUAGUGGCGCACGGGUGCGUAACGCGUGGGAAUCUGCCCCUUGCUUCGGAAUAACAGUUAGAAAUGACUGCUAAUACCGGAUGAUGUCGCAAGACCAAAGAUUUAUCGGCAAGGGAUGAGCCCGCGUAGGAUUAGGUAGUUGGUGGGGUAAAGGCCUACCAAGCCGACGAUCCCUAGCUGGUCUGAGAGGAUGAUCAGCCACACUGGGACUGAGACACGGCCCAGACUCCUACGGGAGGCAGCAGUGGGGAAUAUUGGACAAUGGACGCAAGUCUGAUCCAGCAAUGCCGCGUGAGUGAUGAAGGCCUUAGGGUUGUAAAGCUCUUUUACCCGGGAUGAUAAUGACAGUACCGGGAGAAUAAGCUCCGGCUAACUCCGUGCCAGCCGCCGCAGUAACAC
rnacentral:rRNA from 1 species